GAAGCUGGCCAGACAGUCGCCGCGCACGCAAGUGCGGGGAGGAAAGUCCGGGCUCCACAGAGCAGAAUGCCGGUUAACGACCGGACACCGUGAGGUGAUGAACAGUGCCACAGAAAACACACCGCCGAUGGCCGCGCAAGCGGAACAGGUAAGGUUGAAAUGGCGGGGUAAGAGCCCACCGCGGACGUGGUAACACGGACGGCACGGUAAACUCCAUUCGGAGCAAGACCAAAUAAGCAGGCCAUGACGUUGCUCGCGUCGCCUGCGGGUAGGUCGCUCGAGCGUCAGGUAACGAAACGCCUAGAGGAAUGACUGUCCACGACAGAACCCGGCUUACCGGCCAGCUUCACCU
rnacentral:RNase_P_RNA from 1 species